GUCUUUUGAAAGAAAGAUGUUGUAACUGUUGAGACUUUGAGGAAGAGAUUAUUGCAUUUUCAGUUGUAUACAAGAAAGUUGUAUCACAUGAGAUGAAAUUAUUAACUUGUGUUUGUUUGUAGAUUAAGUAUGGUUUAAGGAGAUAUAUUUGGGCUUCAAUUUGAUAAUGGAUGGGAUGUGAAGGUUAAGAUUGUUAAUUUGAUUAGAUGGGAGCCACAUAAGUGACUAGGAAAUCGCACUUCUGGGUAUGCCUGGGUAAGUCAUGAAAGUGUGACCUUGGAACUGUAUCUGGUACCUGGCCCUUCCUCUCUGUGCUGUUUCCCUGUUCUGCUUCCAGACCACCAUAAACUAACCAGCUUUGUUCCACCCCACCCUUCCACCAUGAUGUUUCUGCCUUGAAGACAGCUAAUCAUAGACUGAGUCCCCUGAAAAUGUGAGACAAAUUAAACCUCUCUUCCUUUCAGUUAUAGAUGUUGAGUAUUGUGUCCCAACAAUAAGAAAGAUGACUAAUACAAUGUGCAUAAUUUUAAUAGAAAUAACAUUUUGUUUCCUACAGUAGAAAAGCUUUUGAUUUCUUUUUUGUUUACUUCCCUUUCAAAGUAGGAAGGUGCUGUGAUUUGGAUUUUAAAUGCCCCUCAAAAGUUCAUGUGUUGAAAGCUUGGUCCCAGCUGAUGGCACUAUUUACAGCUGGUGGGAACUCUAGAAAAUGAAGCCUAGUUUGAGAGGCUGUCAGCCCAGGCAUCCUCUGGAAUGCUCCUGUGCACUCUGAAGGACUCUGUGCACUUGUGGGAGGCAGAAAUAAUGACCUGUAGACUGCUGAAGUGGGCAGUGCUGCAACCUGGAACCCCACCAGCCCUGCUGGGAAGGAAGCUUGUCCGUUUAUCAAGCUGACAGCAAGGCAGCAAAGGGAGCUGCUGAAGCAUCCUUUGCCAAGGACGAGCAUAAUGCAGAAAUAUACGUCAUUGCUGCUUGUGAAUGAAUAUAUUUCUGGUUCAAUUGCUGGAUCAUAUCACCAGUCAUCUAAAGUAAUGGACAGUGAAGAAUGACCAAAAGUUACAUUCCCCCAGACAAUGCCAAAAAUAGCUUUAUCUAAAGUGAGCUAUUGAGUUGGAGUCAGAUUUACUGGCCUCGUAGAAAAAAUACAACACUCGUAUACUUUUUCUAACUUAGAAUCUAUUAAAGAUAGUGCCCUAAGAACACUCAAGGAACUGUGGCCUUUUCCAGAUCAUGAGUUAAGUUUACCUGUCUUUUAGUAGAACCUUGUCUUUUCCAUAUGGUUCAAACUAUACCAGCAAGACACUAUUGCUGUUUAGGUAGAUUUCAAAUAAACAUUCUGCAAGACAGUACUGUAGAUGCUGGUACUGCCUCUCCAGAGUACUGUACUAUAUAUCUUUAAACAGGAAAAGAAACAUUUGCACUAUUUCUAGCCUAUUUCACCAUCACUACAAAAAGCCAUUCUGCUUGUGAAACUCAGUAUCACUACUGAGAUAGUGAAGCCAGAGUAAUACAUUGCCACUCCUCUCCAAAUUGUACGUUUUUUUUAUGUCAAAUGCUUCUCACUAUGUCACUAUUUCUCUUGCAGUUUUACAUAUACCUAUGUGAUUAGUUAAUCAAUGUGAUCUCUAACACCAAACUAUAAAACCAGUGAGGCCAGGUUCUGUCUACAUUUUGUUACCUAUUGCAAUUAAUGGUACACAGAACAUAAUCAAAACAUACUUGUUAAUGAAUAUUAAUUAGCAAG
rnacentral:lncRNA from 1 species